GCAAGUAUAGUUUCAACCCAAACAUUAGAUUGUGAUUCUAAAGAUAGAAGUUAGACCCUUCUUACUUGCC
rnacentral:tRNA from 1 species